GGUCUUCCUUUUGCCGUUGGUUCACCCUCCAAUGGCCGCCACGGCCGGCACGCUGCAGCAUGCGCACUGCACUGAUCCGAUGGCAGGAGCCAGGUGCUUCUCCUGGUCUCCCAUGGGGUGCAGGGCCCAAGCACUUGGGCCAUCCUCCACUGCACUCCCUGGCCACAGCAGAGAGCUGGCCUGGAAGAGGGGCAACCGGGACAGAAUCCGGCACCCCAACCGGGACUAGAACCCGGUGUGCAGGCGCCACAAGGCGGAGGAUUAGCCUAUUGAGCCGCGGCGCCGGCCAAAAUCUUAUGUCUGUCUCUCCCUCUCUCUGUCCAUCCUUGCAGUCCCGAUCACUCCAUUUUCUUUCUGUUUAUUCUGGCCUCUCAAGCUUAUUAGGGAUAUGACUGAUUCAUUAUAAUUAGUGUUAUUGUUAUUUGGAAAAGUUUCUUAACCAUCUUUCCUUAAAAAAUUAAUAAACCUGAGGAAGAAAAAGCCUAUAAUAGUAUCAGAAGUCUACCAGUUUGGGUCUCAUGAUCUGUUAGCAAUUUCCUGAUAAAAAGCUUCAUCCUAAGUUUGUCCCUAAUAAAAUAGAAUUCACUUUCUUUUCCUUGAAAACCUAACGCUUAUUUAUCUAAGAGCAAACUAUAACUUGAUGGAAAUUAUCAGGUUCAAAAUUUGAUUAAAUCUUUCCAUGGUAGUCAGCUUAUAGUAGAUACCUAUAUUAUAUAUUUUAUUUAUUUAUUUAGUAAAUAUAAAUUUCCAAAGUACAGUUUAUGGAUUACAAUGACUCCUCCCCCCAUAAUUUCCCUCCCACUCACACCCCUCCCAUUUCCCACUCCUUCUCCCAUUCCAUUCACAUCAAGAUUCAUUUUCAAUUAUCUUUAUAUACAGAAGAUCAAUUUAGUAUAUAUUAAGUAAAGAUUUCAUCAGUUUGCACCCACACAGAAACACAAAGUGUAAAAUACUGUUUGAGUACUAGUUAUAGCAUUAAUUCACAUUGGACAACACAUUAAGGACAGAUCCCAUAUGAGAAGUAAGUACACAGUGACUCCUGUUGUUGACCUAACAAUCUGACACUUUUGUUUAUGGCGACAGUAAUCUCCCUAGGCUCUUGUCGUGAGUUGCCAAGGCUAUGGAAGCCUUUUGAGUUCGCCGACUUUGAUCUUAUUCUGACAGGGUCAUAGUCAAAGUGGAAGUUCUUUCCUCCCUUCAGAGAAAGGUACCUCCUUCUUUGAUGUCCCUGUGCUUUCCACUGGGAUCUCACUCACAGAGAUCUUUCAUUUAGGCAUUUAGGUCUUCUUCUUUUUUUUUUUUUUUCCAGAGUGUCUUGGCUUUGCAUGCCUAAAAUACUCUCAUGGGCUCUUCAGCCAGAUCUGAAUGCCUUAAGGGCUGAUUCUGUAGCCAGAGUGCUAUUUAGGACAUCUGCCAUUCUAUGAGUCUGCUGUGUAUCCCACUUCCCAUGAUGGAUCGUUCUUUCCCUUUUUGAUUCUAUCAGUUAGUAUUAGCAGACACUAGUCUUGUUUGUGUGAUCCCUUUGACUCUUAGACCUAUCAGUGUGAUCAAUUGUGACCUGAAAUUGAUCACUUGGACUAGUGAGAUGGCAUUGGUACAUGCCACCUUGAUGGGAUUGAAUUGGAAUCCCCUGGUAUGUUUCUAACUCUACCAUUUGGGGCAAGUCCAAUUGAGCAUGUCCCAAAUUGUA